rnacentral:rRNA from 1 species
GAUGAACGCUGGCGGCGUGCCUAAUACAUGCAAGUCGAGCGAACGGACGAGAAGCUUGCUUUUCUGAUGUUAGCGGCGGACGGGUGAGUAACACGUGGAUAACCUACCUAUAAGACUGGGAUAACUUCGGGAAACCGGAGCUAAUACCGGAUAAUAUUUUGAACCGCAUGGUUCAAAAGUGAAAGACGGUCUUGCUGUCACUUAUAGAUGGAUCCGCGCUGCAUUAGCUAGUUGGUAAGGUAACGGCUUACCAAGGCAACGAUGCAUAGCCGACCUGAGAGGGUGAUCGGCCACACUGGAACUGAGACACGGUCCAGACUCCUACGGGAGGCAGCAGUAGGGAAUCUUCCGCAAUGGGCGAAAGCCUGACGGAGCAACGCCGCGUGAGUGAUGAAGGUCUUCGGAUCGUAAAACUCUGUUACUAGGGAAGAACAUAUGUGUAAGUAACUGUGCACAUCUUGACGGUACCUAAUCAGAAAGCCACGGCUAACUACGU